UACGGGGGGGGCAAGCGUUGUUCGGAAUUACUGGGCGUAAAGGGCUCGUAGGUGGCCAACUAAGUCAGACGUGAAAUCCCUCGGCUUAACCGGGGAACUGCGUCUGAUACUGGAUGGCUUGAGUUUGGGAGAGGGAUGCGGAAUUCCAGGUGUAGCGGUGAAAUGCGUAGGUAUCUGGAGGAACACCGGUGGCGAAGGCGGCAUCCUGGACCAACACUGACACUGAUGAGCGAAAGCCAGGGGAGCAAACGGG
rnacentral:rRNA from 1 species